GACGAACGCUGGCGGCGUGCUUAACACAUGCAAGUCGAACGAUGAAGCCGGAGCUUGCUCUGGUGAAUUAGUGGCGAACGGGUGAGUAACACGCGAGUAACCUGCCCUUGACUCUGGGAUAACUGCGGGAAACUGUAGCUAAUACCGGAUACGACCCUCGGAGGCAUCUCCUGGGGGUGGAAAGAAUUUCGGUCAAGGAUGGACUCGCGGCCUAUCAGCUAGUUGGUGAGGUAAAGGCUCACCAAGGCGACGACGGGUAGCCGGCCUGAGAGGGUGACCGGCCACACUGGGGCUGAGACACGGCCCAGACUCCUACGGGAGGCAGCAGUGGGGAAUAUUGCACAAUGGGCGCAAGCCUGAUGCAGCAACGCCGCGUGAGGGAUGACGGCCUUCGGGUUGUAAACCUCUUUUAGCAGGGAAGAAGCGAAAGUGACGGUACCUGCAGAAAAAGCACCGGCUAACUACGUGCCAGCAGCCGCCGUAA
rnacentral:rRNA from 1 species